rnacentral:rRNA from 1 species
CCUACGGGAGGCAGCAGUGGGGAAUAUUGCGCAAUGGGCGAAAGCCUGACGCAGCGACGCCGCGUGAGGGAUGAAGGUCUUCGGAUCGUAAACCUCUGUCAGCAGGGAAGAACGGUCACUGUGCUAAUCAGCAGUGAAUUGACGGUACCUGCAAAGGAAGCACCGGCUAACUCCGUGCCAGCAGCCGCGGUAAUACGGAGGGUGCGAGCGUUAAUCGGAAUUACUGGGCGUAAAGCGCUCGUAGGCGGUAUGUCAAGUCAAGGGUGAAGUCCCCGCGCGCAACGUGGGAACUGCCUUUGAAACUGGCAAACUGGAGUGUGUGAGAGGAUAGUGGAAGUCCAGGUGUAGGAGUGAAAUCCGUAGAUAUCUGGAGGAACAUCAGUGGCGAAGGCGACUAUCUGGCACAUAACUGACGCUGAGGAGCGAAAGCGUGGGUAGCAAACAGGAUUAGAUACCCCUGUAGUC